UACGUAGGGUGCGAGCGUUGUCCGGAAUUAUUGGGCGUAAAGAGCUCGUAGGCGGUCUGUCGCGUCUGCUGUGAAAACUCGGGGCUUAACCCCGGGCCUGCAGUGGGUACGGGCAGACUAGAGUGCGGUAGGGGAGACUGGAAUUCCUGGUGUAGCGGUGAAAUGCGCAGAUAUCAGGAGGAACACCAAUAGCGAAGGCAGCUCGCUGGGACGGUACUGACGCUAAGGGCGCGAAAGCGUGGGGAGCCGAACAGGA
rnacentral:rRNA from 1 species